AAAGUAAUUAAAAAAGAAUAAGAUAUUACUUAAUUACAUAUAUUAAAUGAAGGAAGUUGGCCAAAAGAAAAAGUAAAGAAACUAAUUUUAUAUUUUAAAAUUUUAUACUUUUCCAAAAAAAAAAAAAAAAAACACAAGAACACUUCUCCCGACGAAAUUUCGUCGGCAAAGAUCUAUGCCGACAAAAUUUGCCGGAUUAGGUUUCCCCCGAC
rnacentral:lncRNA from 1 species